rnacentral:rRNA from 1 species
ACGCUCGACACCUACGGGAGGCAGCAGUGGGGAAUAUUGCACAAUGGGGGAAACCCUGAUGCNGCGACGCCGCGUGAGUGAAGAAGUAUUUCGGUAUGUAAAGCUCUAUCAGCAGGGAANAAAAUGACGGUACCUGACUAAGAAGCCCCGGCUAACUACGUGCCCAACAGCCGCGGUAAUCUGAGCGGGCUGGCAAGGC